rnacentral:rRNA from 1 species
UACGAAGGAUCCAAGCGUUAUCCGGAUUUAUUGGGUUUAAAGGGUGCGUAGGCGGGUUGUUAAGUCAGUGGUGAAAUCUUGCAGCUUAACUGUAAAAUUGCCAUUGAUACUGACGAUCUUGAGUACACUUGAAGUGGGCGGAAUAUGUCAUGUAGAGGUGAAAUUCUUAGAGAUGACAUAGAACACCGAUUGACGAAGGCAGCUCACUAAAUUGUAACUGACGCUGAGGCACGAAAGCGUGGGGAUCAAACAGGAGUUAGAUA